UGCAAUGCGUCUGAGCUCCGU
rnacentral:miRNA from 1 species